AACGCGAAGAACCUUACCUACUCUUGACAUCCAGAGAACUUUCCAGAGAUGGAUUGGUGCCUUCGGGAACUGUGAGACAGGUGCUGCAUGGCUGUCGUCAGCUCGUGUUGUGAAAUGUUGGGUUAAGUCCCGCAACGAGCGCAACCCUUAUCCUUUGUUGCCAGCGGUCCGGCCGGGAACUCAAAGGAGACUGCCAGUGAUAAACUGGAGGAAGGUGGGGAUGACGUCAAGUCAUCAUGGCCCUUACGACCAGGGCUACACACGUGCUACAAUGGCGCAUACAAAGAGAAGCAAUCUCGCGAGAGCUAGCGGACCUCAUAAAGUGCGUCGUAGUCCGGAUUGGAGUCUGCAACUCGACUCCAUGAAGUCGGAAUCGCUAGUAAUCGUGAAUCAGAAUGUCACGGUGAAUACGUUCCCGGGCCUUGUACACACCG
rnacentral:rRNA from 1 species